GCAGGAUCAACCAGGUAGCAUUCCUCAUUGUCGCCGGCACCGCAUGAGCAACAGGACAAAUACUAUCCUCCACUCAAUGCAGGGCACGACAUGCUUCAAUAAGGGACAUUUAAUUCGGGCAACAAGGGGUCAAAGGCCCCGACCGAUCAUGUUUCUGCAUACAAAACUUCAAGCGACACGUGGGCGUCCGAUGCCUGCUAUAGGCUAAAAUGGCCAAGCAAGGGCAGAUGUCCAGGGCGCUUCGAUGUCUAUAUUGUACAAAACAUUUAGUACAAGAUAGAGAAGAGAUCAUGGGACUACUAAAUUCCAUCAAAUUAGGUAUGCUCACAGGGGGCCAAGCCAACCAAGGCAAAAUUUUUUGCACUCGGACUGAACUGAAAAGGUGUGAUCGUGUGACUGUCGCUGCCGAGGCAGGGAACCAACCAAACGGAACAUACC
rnacentral:misc_RNA from 1 species